AGAAGGAAAGGACAGCCAUGGAAUCAAAAAGUAAGGAUUCUGUAGCUGUUUAUAGUUUCUCUGACUGUCUGCAGCCAGGUUGUGUAUUAAAAGCAGCUCACUCAGUGCUAUUAGAGGGAGAUUUAUGUGCAUACGUUUGAUAAGGAAGUCAUUCUGCCAUGAGGGGGCGUUGCUACGUAGGGAGGUUUAUGGUGCAACAUUAUUUUUUGUGCAGAAACUAUAAAGAUUUGAGCCUGCAAAAAAUGAGGUCAAAACCUAUCAAAUGCGUAGGAGUGUCAAUUAAGUAUGAGAGAGCUUAUUUAUUGACUCACUUAUC